CAAACGCUUACAUUGUAAAUGCAUUCUGGGAUUCUGACUGUGACCUGUGUGUGUCUGAUUCACAUCACAGGCAGAGUUCUAGCUAUGCGUUUACAGCUUGCUUCUC